GAACGCUCAUGAGGGUUUCGGCCCUUGUGGGAGUGGCGGACGGGUGAGUAGCGCGUGGGAACCUGCCUUGGAGUGGGGGAUAACCGAGGGAAACUUCGGCUAAUACCGCAUACGCCCCGGCGUGAGCCGGGGGAAAGAUUGAUCGCUCCAAGAGGGGCCCGCGUCGGAUUAGGUAGUUGGUGGGGUAACGGCCUACCAAGCCUUUGAUCCGUAGCUGGUCUGAGAGGAUGAUCAGCCACACUGGGACUGAGACACGGCCCAGACUCCUACGGGAGGCAGCAGUGGGGAAUAUUGGACAAUGGGCGCAAGCCUGAUCCAGCAAUGCCGCGUGAGUGAUGAAGGCCUUAGGGUUGUAAAGCUCUUUCGCCCGCGACGAUGAUGACGGUAGCGGGAGAAGAAGCCCCGGCUAACUUCGUG
rnacentral:rRNA from 1 species